rnacentral:rRNA from 1 species
CGAAAAGAACCCCGGCGAGGGGAGUGAAAAAGAACCUGAAACCGUGUACGUACAAGCAGUGGGAGCCCCACCACUAAGCCAGUGGUGAACUCCACAUCCGCAUCCUUUGCUGAGGAUACGGUUAACGGAGCGAAAGCGACGUUCAACCGCAAAACAAGCAGAGGGGGCUUAGUGGUGGGGUGACUGCGUACCUUUUGUAUAAUGGGUCAGCGACUUAUAUUCUGUAGCAAGGUUAACCGAAUAGGGG